UACGAAGGGGGCUAGCGUUGCUCGGAAUUACUGGGCGUAAAGCGCGUGUAGGCAGCAUAGCAAGUCGGGUGUGAAAGCCCUGGGCUUAACCUAGGAAGUGCACUCGAAACUGCUGAGCUUGAGUUCUGGAGAGGAAGGCGGAAUUCUCGGUGUAGAGGUGAAAUUCGUAGAUAUCGAGAGGAACACCGGUGGCGAAGGCGGCCUUCUGGACAGUGACUGACGCUGAGACGCGAAAGCGUGGGGAGCAAACAGG
rnacentral:rRNA from 1 species